rnacentral:tRNA from 1 species
GGGCGCGUAGUAUAGCCUGGAUAGUACACUUGGCUUCGGACCAGGAAACUCCGGUUCGAAUCCGGACGCGCUCA